UACGAAGGGGGCUAGCGUUGUUCGGAAUUACUGGGCGUAAAGCGCACGUAGGCGGAUCGAUCAGUCAGGGGUGAAAUCCCAGAGCUCAACUCUGGAACUGCCUUUGAUACUGUCGAUCUGGAGUAUGGAAGAGGUGAGUGGAAUUCCGAGUGUAGAGGUGAAAUUCGUAGAUAUUCGGAGGAACACCAGUGGCGAAGGCGGCUCACUGGCCCGGUACUGACGCUGAGGUGCGAAAGCGUGGGGAGCAAACAGG
rnacentral:rRNA from 1 species